UUCGAUCGAGCUCCAGCAGUCGAGCGGUACAGAUCCAGCUUGCUGGAUGCUGACGAGCGGCGGACGGGUGAGUAAUGCAUAGGAAUCUGCCCGAUAGUGGGGGAUAACCUGGGGAAACCCAGGCUAAUACCGCAUACGUCCUACGGGAGAAAGGGGGCUUCGGCUCCCGCUAUCGGAUGAGCCUAUGUCGGAUUAGCUAGUUGGUGAGGUAACGGCUCACCAAGGCCACGAUCCGUAGCUGGUCUGAGAGGAUGAUCAGCCACAUCGGGACUGAGACACGGCCCGAACUCCUACGGGAGGCAGCAGUGGGGAAUAUUGGACAAUGGGGGGAACCCUGAUCCAGCCAUGCCGCGUGUGUGAAGAAGGCCCUCGGGUUGUAAAGCACUUUCAGCGAGGAAGAACGCCUAGCGGUUAAUACCCGCUAGGAAAGACAUCACUCGCAGAAGAAGCACCGGCUAACUCCGUGCCAGCAGCCGCGGUAAUACGGAGGGUGCAAGCGUUAAUCGGAAUUACUGGGCGUAAAGCGCGCGUAGGUGGCUUGAUAAGCCGGUUGUGAAAGCCCCGGGCUCAACCUGGGAACGGCAUCCGGAACUGUCAAGCUAGAGUGCAGGAGAGGAAGGUAGAAUUCCCGGUGUAGCGGUGAAAUGCGUAGAGAUCGGGAGGAAUACCAGUGGCGAAGGCGGCCUUCUGGACUGACACUGACACUGAGGUGCGAAAGCGUGGGUAGCAAACAGGAUUAGAUACCCUUGGUAGUCA
rnacentral:rRNA from 1 species